AUCGCUUUUAUCACGUGGUGAGUGCAGUGAUGUCAGAGCAGGUCCUGCUGAACGAAGAUAGAAGGAUCACGUGGUGAGUGCAGUGAUGUCAGCGCAGAUAGAAGGAUCACGUGGUGAGUGCAGUGAUGUCAGCGCAGAUAGAAGGAUCACGUGGUCCUGAAAAAAGAAGGAAGAAGAUGAUGCCGGCUGCGCGAACAACAGGAUGGGAUACAGUAUAGUAAAAAAGCACAAAACAAGAAUAUGAAAAGCCAAGAGAACAUAAGAAUAUCACAAUAAUGUGCUGAAAUAAAACCAUCACACGGGGCCAUCGCACUACCACCAGAAUUAUGUCAUCAUCUGGUCCUCAAAUAAUACUGCUGGAAGCCGACCCAAUUAUAUCAAUAUAAUAUCAUUAAAACCUACACAGUCUGACUAAAACCAGUAAGUGGUACCAUAAAAGCGGGGAGGCUUUUCUUCAGCAGGGAAGCUGGUCAGAGGUCAUAAGGAAGAUGGAUGGAGAUAAAUACAGGACAAUCCUAGAGGAAAACCUGGUAGAGGCUGCAAAAGACUUGAGACUGGGGCGGAGGUUCACCUUCCAGCAGGACAACCACCCUCAACAUCCAGCUAGAGCUACAAUGGAAGGGUUUAGAUCAGAGCAUAUUCAUGUGUUAGAACGGCCCAGUGACAGUCCAGACCUAAAUUCCAUUGAGACCUUAAAAUCCCUGUUCACAGACGCUCUCCAUCCAAUCUGACUGAGCGCGAGCUCUUCUGCAAAGAAGAAUGGGCAAAAUUUUCGGCUUCUAGAUGUACAAUGCUGGUAGAGACCGACCCCAAAAGACUUGCAACUAUAAUCGCAGUGAAAGGUGGUCCUACAAAAUAGUGGCUCCGGGGGGCUGAAUACAAAUGCAUGUAACAUUGUCCCGAUUUUUAUUUAUUAAAUAUGU